CCCUAAAGCACCCCCAGAGCACCCUCAGGACCCACAGAGCAUCCCGGGGAUACCCCUAGAGAAUGCCAGGGAAGGCCUGGAGCACCUCCAGAGCCCCCCAUGGACCCCACCAGAGCCCCCGCAUCACGAUGAUCAUGAGGACCACGGGGUGGCUGAUUCUGGAACACCCCAUGUUCAGGUGUGCGAGGCCACAGAACCCCAUGGAACCCGUCACCGGAGGCACCAGGAGAUGACAACUGCCCCACGGAACACAAGCUGCCGGUGGAGGAGGCAACAGCAGCUCCCCUGGUGGUUCCCGUCUUGGUGUCUUGGUGCCGGUGACGUCUGUGGGCACAUGAGCAUGGAACGAGGUGUGCGAGGCCAUGGAACCCCACGGAACCCGUCACCGGAGGCACCAGGAGAUGACAACUGCCCCACGGAACACAAGCUACCGGUGGAGGAGGCAACAGCAGCUCCCCUGGUGGUUCCCGUCUUGGUGUCUUGGUGCCGGUGACGUCUGUGGACACAUGAGCAUGGAACGAGGUGG